UACGUAGGGGGGCUAGCGUUGUCCGGAAUCAUUGGGCGUAAAGAGCGUGUAGGCGGUCCGGUAAGUCCGCUGUGAAAAGUCGGGGGGCUCAACCCUCGAAUGCCGGUGGAUACUGUCGGGCUAGAGUGCGGAAGAGGCGAGUGGAAUUCCUGGUGUAGCGGUGAAAAUGCGCAGAUAUCAGGAGGAACACCAGUGGCGAAGGCGGCUCACUGGCCCCGGUACUGACGCUGAGGCGCGAAAGCGUGGGGGAGCAAACAGG
rnacentral:rRNA from 1 species